AGAGUUUGAUCCUGGCUCAGGAUGAACGCUAGCGGCAGGCUUAACACAUGCAAGUCGAGGGGUAACAGGGUGCUUGCACCGCUGACGACCGGCGCACGGGUGCGUAACGCGUAUACAAUCUACCUUUUACAGAGAGAUACCCCAGAGAAAUUUGGAAUAAUACCUCAUAAUAUUUUUGCUCGGCAUCGAGUGACAGUUAAAGUUUCGGCGGUAAAAGAUGAGUAUGCGUCCUAUUAGCUAGUUGGUAAGGUAACGGCUUACCAAGGCGACGAUAGGUAGGGGUCCUGAGAGGGAGAUCCCCCACACUGGUACUGAGACACGGACCAGACUCCUACGGGAGGCAGCAGUGAGGAAUAUUGGACAAUGGGCGCAAGCCUGACCCAGCCAUGCCGCGUGCAGGACGAAGGCGUUAUGCGUUGUAAACUGCUUUUAUACAGGAAGAAAAAGGCCAUGCGUGGCAAACUGACGGUACUGUAUGAAUAAGGAUCGGCUAACUCCGUGCCAGCAGCCGCGGUAAUACGGAGGAUCCAAGCGUUAUCCGGAAUCAUUGGGUUUAAAGGGUCCGUAGGCGGUCUUAUAAGUCAGUGGUGAAAUCUCCCCGCUCAACGGGGAAACGGCCAUUGAUACUGUAAGACUUGAAUUAUUAGGAAGUAACUAGAAUAUGUAGUGUAGCGGUGAAAUGCUUAGAGAUUACAUGGAAUACCAAUUGCGAAGGCAGGUUACUACUAAUGGAUUGACGCUGAUGGACGAAAGCGUGGGUAGCGAACAGGAUUAGAUACCCUGGUAGUCCACGCCGUAGACGAUGGAUACUAGCUGUUGGGAGCAAUCUCAGUGGCUAAGCGAAAGUGAUAAGUAUCCCACCUGGGGAGUACGUUCGCAAGAAUGAAACUCAAGGAAUUGACGG
rnacentral:rRNA from 1 species